AGCACGGACACGGGGUGCCCCCAUUGGGGCUGAGAUCACACCCGUUGAACCUGAUCUAGUUCGUACUAGCGAAGGGAAUGUCGCGGAUGUUUGAC
rnacentral:ncRNA from 2 species